GGUCGAUGAUGACAAAGAAGUUUUCUGAGGGCACAGGGAAAGUCCACCCUAUUACCCCCUUGGCUCCCAGCAGUCCCAAUAUUCUAUCACGCCAUAGUAGAGCUGUGAUGGAGGAAGAGACUGCUGACAGUUUGGGAUUAAUUCAGUUCCAGUUCUCCACAGUAAAGGGAGUUGUGGCACCAAAUGUAAUCCAACAAAUCUGGUGAAGAGGAGCUCAUGGUGAUGGGGUGUCCUCAAUUGCUGUGCAUGAUCAAAGGUUUUCAAGCUGAGACC
ensembl:scaRNA